GACGAACGCUGGCGGCGUGCUUAACACAUGCAAGUCGAACGGAAAGGCCCUGCUUUUGUGGGGUGCUCGAGUGGCGAACGGGUGAGUAACACGUGAGUAACCUGCCCUUGACUUUGGGAUAACUUCAGGAAACUGGGGCUAAUACCGGAUAGGAGCUCCUGCUGCAUGGUGGGGGUUGGAAAGUUUCGGCGGUUGGGGAUGGACUCGCGGCUUAUCAGCUUGUUGGUGGGGUAGUGGCUUACCAAGGCUUUGACGGGUAGCCGGCCUGAGAGGGUGACCGGCCACAUUGGGCCGGAGAGACGGCCCAGACCCCGAGGGGGGGCAGAGGGGGGGAAUUUUGCACAAGGGGCGGAAGCCUGAAGCAGCACCCCCGGGGGGGGGAGGACGGCCUUCGGGUUGUAAACCGCUUUCCCCUGGAAAGAAGGGUGGGGGGCGGUAAUGGGAAAAGAAGCACCGGCAAACUACGU
rnacentral:rRNA from 1 species